CGCGACUCGGCGGCCGAACUGUGAACGUUAACCUUUUUUUGCAUUUUUUUUUUUUUUUUGCGACGUUCACUCACACAUACACACACACACACACACACACCGUAUAAUUACAUACAAACAAACAUACACAGUACACACACAAACGCACUGUUCGACAACGACUAUAACGACGGUUGAAAGGUUUUUUUUUCUCAAAACACCGACGACGAAAUAUUUUUCGUUAUUAUUAUUAUUAUCGCGUUGUACAGCAUUACAUAUUAUUUUAAAUGAU